rnacentral:rRNA from 1 species
UACGAAGGGGGCUAGCGUUGCUCGGAAUCACUGGGCGUAAAGCGCACGUAGGCGGAUUGUUAAGUCAGGGGUGAAAUCCUGGAGCUCAACUCCAGAACUGCCUUUGAUACUGGCGAUCUUGAGUCCGGGAGAGGUGAGUGGAACUGCGAGUGUAGAGGUGAAAUUCGUAGAUAUUCGCAAGAACACCAGUGGCGAAGGCGGCUCACUGGCCCGGUACUGACCG